rnacentral:rRNA from 1 species
ACUCCUACGGGAGGCAGCAGUGGGGAAUAUUGCACAAUGGGGGAAACCCUGAUGCAGCCAUGCCGCGUGUGUGAAGAAGGCCUUCGGGUUGUAAAGCACUUUCAGUAGGGAGGAAGGUAGUGUAGUUAACACCUGCAUUAUUUGACGUUACCUACAAUAAGAAGCCGAUACCGGCCUAACUCCCAGUGCCAGCCAGCCGGCGUAAUACGGAGGGUGCGAGCGUUAAUCGGAAUUACUGGGCGUAAAGCGCAUGCAGGCGGCCUGUUAAGUCAGAUGUGAAAGCCCGGGGCUUAACCUCGGAAUUGCAUUUGAAACUGGCAGGCUAGAGUCUUGUAGAGGGGGGUAGAAUUUCAGGUGUAGCGGUGAAAUGCGUAGAGAUCUGAAGGAAUACCAGUGGCGAAGGCGGCCCCCCUGGACAGAUACUGACACUCAGAUGCGAAAGCGUGGGGAGCAAACAGGAUUAGAUACCCUGGUAGGAUAGCGU